GCUUGUCUCAAAGAUUAAGCCAUGCAUGUCUAAGUAUAAACAAUUUGUACUGUGAAACUGCGAAUGGCUCAUUAAAUCAGUUAUAGUUUAUUUGAUGGUAUCUUGCUACAUGGAUAACUGUGGUAAAUCUAGAGCUAAUACAUGCUUAAAAGCCCCGACUUCUGGAAGGGGUGUAUUUAUUAGAUAAAAACCAACCCUUCGGGUCCCUUGGUGAAUCAUAAUAACUUCUCGAAUCGCAUGGCCUAGUGCCGGCGAUGCUUCAUUCAAAUAUCUGCCCUAUCAACUGUCGAUGGUAGGAUAGAGGCCUACCAUGGUUGCAACGGGUAACGGGGAAUAAGGGUUCGAUUCCGGAGAGGGAGCCUGAGAAACGGCUACCACAUCCAAGGAAGGCAGCAGG
rnacentral:rRNA from 1 species